rnacentral:rRNA from 1 species
AUUGAACGCUGGCGGCAGGCCUAACACAUGCAAGUCGAGCGGAUGAAGGGAGCUUGCUCCUGGAUUCAGCGGCGGACGGGUGAGUAAUGCCUAGGAAUCUGCCUGGUAGUGGGGGAUAACGUCCGGAAACGGGCGCUAAUACCGCAUACGUCCUGAGGGAGAAAGUGGGGGAUCUUCGGACCUCACGCUAUCAGAUGAGCCUAGGUCGGAUUAGCUAGUUGGUGGGGUAAAGGCCUACCAAGGCGACGAUCCGUAACUGGUCUGAGAGGAUGAUCAGUCACACUGGAACUGAGACACGGUCCAGACUCCUACGGGAGGCAGCAGUGGGGAAUAUUGAACAAUGAGCGAAAGCCUGAUCCAGCCAUGCCGCGUGUGUGAAGAAGGUCUUCGGAUUGUAAAGCACUUUAAGUUGGGAGGAAGGGCAGUAAGUUAAUACCUUGCUGUUUUGACGUUACCAACAGAAUAAGCACCGGCUAACUUCGUG